rnacentral:rRNA from 1 species
CACGUAGGCGGUAAAUCAAGUUAGAUGUGAAAUACUAAGGCUUAACCUUAGGGCUGCAUCUGAGACUGAUUAACUAGAGUUUACUAGAGGGGAGUGGAAUUUCCGGUGUAGCGGUGAAAUGCGUAGAUAUCGGAAGGAACACCAGUUGCGAAGGCGGCUCUCUGGAGUUGAACUGACGCUGAGGUGCGAAAGCGUGGGUAGCGAACA